rnacentral:rRNA from 1 species
UGGGGAAUAUUGCACAAUGGGCGCAAGCCUGAUGCAGCCAUGCCGCGUGUAUGAAGAAGGCCUUCGGGUUGUAAAGUACUUUCAGCGGGGAGGAAGGCGAUAAGGUUAAUAACCUUGUCGAUUGACGUUACCCGCAGAAGAAGCACCGGCUAACUCCGUGCCAGCAGCCGCGGUAAUACGGAGGGUGCAAGCGUCAAUCGGAAUUACUGGGCGUAAAGCGCACGCAGGCGGUCUGUCAAGUCGGAUGUGAAAUCCCCGGGCUCAACCUGGGAACUGCAUUCGAAACUGGCAGGCUAGAGUCUUGUAGAGGGGGGUAGAAUUCCAGGUGUAGCGGUGAAAUGCGUAGAGAUCUGGAGGAAUACCGGUGGCGAAGGCGGCCCCCUGGACAAAGACUGACGCUCAGGUGCGAAAGCGUGGGGAGCAAAGA